UACGGGGGGAGCAAGCGUUGUUCGGAUUUACUGGGCGUAAAGGGCGCGUAGGCGGUCAGCACAAGUCAGUUGUGAAAUCUCCGAGCUUAACUCGGAAAGGUCAACUGAUACUGUGCGACUAGAGUGCGGAAGGGGCAACUGGAAUUCUUGGUGUAGCGGUGAAAUGCGUAGAUAUCAGGAGGAACACCGGUGGCGAAGGCGGUUCUCUGGGCAUUACCUGACGCUGAGGAGCGAAAGUGUGGGGAGCGAACAGG
rnacentral:rRNA from 1 species